UACGGAGGGGGCUAGCGUUGUUCGGAAUUACUGGGCGUAAAGCGCGCGUAGGCGGAUCUGCAAGUCGGGGGUGAAAUCCCGAGGCUCAACCUCGGAACUGCCUUCGAUACUGCGGGUCUCGAGUCCGGGAGAGGUGAGUGGAACUGCGAGUGUAGAGGUGAAAUUCGUAGAUAUUCGCAAGAACACCAGUGGCGAAGGCGGCUCACUGGCCCGGUACUGACGCUGAGGUGCGAAAGCGUGGGGAGCAAACAGG
rnacentral:rRNA from 1 species